CCUACGGGAGGCAGCAGUGAGGAAUAUUGGUCAAUGGACGCAAGUCUGAACCAGCCAUGCCGCGUGCAGGAAGACGGCUCUAUGAGUUGUAAACUGCUUUUGUACGAGGAUAAACGCAGAUACGCGUAUCUGUCUGAAAGUAUCGUACGAAUAAGGAUCGGCUAACUCCGUGCCAGCAGCCGCGGUAAUACGGAGGAUUCAAGCGUUAUCCGGAUUUAUUGGGUUUAAAGGGUGCGUAGGCGGUCGGAUAAGUUAGAGGUGAAAUCCCGAGGCUCAACUUCGGAAUUGCCUCUGAUACUGUUCGGCUAGAGAGUAGUUGCGGUAGGCGGAAUGUGUGGUGUAGCGGGGAAAUGCUUAGAGAUCAUACAGAACACCGAUUGCGAAGGCAGCUUACCAAGCUACUUCUGACGUUGAGGCACGAAAGCGUGGGGAGCAAACAGGAUUAGAUACCCCUGUAGUC
rnacentral:rRNA from 1 species